rnacentral:rRNA from 1 species
GGGUUGUGAGGUUAAGCGACUAAGCGUACACGGUGGAUGCCCUGGCAGUCAGAGGCGAUGAAGGGCGUGCUAAUCUGCGAUAAGCGCCGGUAAGGUGAUAUGAACCGUUAUAACCGGCGAUACCCGAAUGGGGAAACCCAGUGUGAUUCGUCACACUAUCAUUAACUGAAUCCAUAGGUUAAUGAGGCGAACCGGGGGAACUGAAACAUCUAAGUACCCCGAGGAAAAGAAAUCAACCGAGAUUCCCCCAGUAGCGGCGAGCGAACGGGGAGGAGCCCAGAGCCUGAAUCAGCAUGUGUGUUAGUGGAAGCGUCUGGAAAGGCGCGCGAUACAGGGUGACAGCCCCGUACACAAAAGCGCAUGUGCUGUGAGCUCGAUGAGUAGGGCGGGACACGUGGUAUCCUGUCUGAAUAUGGGGGGACCAUCCUCCAAGGCUAAAUACUCCUGACUGACCGAUAGUGAACCAGUACCGUGAGGGAAAGGCGAAAAGAACCCCGGCGAGGGGAGUGAAAAAGAACCUGAAACCGUGUACGUACAAGCAGUGGGAGCACCCUUCGGGGUGUGACUGCGUACCUUUUGUAUAAUGGGUCAGCGACUUAUAUUCUGUAGCAAGGUUAACCGAAUAGGGGAGCCGGAGGGAAACCGAGUCUUAAUUGGGCGUUAAGUUGCAGGGUAUAGACCCGAAACCCGGUGAUCUAGCCAUGGGCAGGUUGAAGGUUGGGUAACACUAACUGGAGGACCGAACCGACUAAUGUUGAAAAAU